GACGAACGCUGGCGGCGUGCUUAACACAUGCAAGUCGAACGGAAAGGCCCUGCUUUUGUGUGGUGCUCGCGUGGCGAACGGGUGAGUAACACGUGAGUAACCUGCCCUUGACUUUGGGAUAACUUCAGGCAACUGGGGCUAAUACCGGCUAGGAGCUCCUGCUGCAUGGUGGGGGUUGGAAAGUUUCGGCGGUUGGGGAUGGACUCGCGGCUUAUCAGCUGGUUGGGGGGGUAGUGGCUUACCAAGGCUUUGACGGGUAGCCGGCCUGAGAGGGUGACCGGCCACAUUGGGACUGCGGUACGGCGCAGACUCCAACGGGAGGCAGCAGGCGGGAAUAUUGCACAAUGAGCGCAAGCCUGAUGCAGCAACGCCGCGUGCGGGAUGACGGCCUUCUGGUGGUGAACCGCUUUCGCCUGUGACGAAGCGGGAGUGACGGUAAUGGCUAAAGAAGCACCGGCUAACUACGUG
rnacentral:rRNA from 1 species